UCCAGACUCCUACGGGAGGCAGCAGUGGGGAAUAUUGCACAAUGGGGGAAACCCUGAUGCAGCAACGCCGCGUGAGUGAAGAAGUCAUUCGUGAUGUAAAGCUCUCUCAGCAGGGAAGAAAAUGACGGUACCUGAGUAAGAAGCCCCGGCUAACUACGUGCCAGCAGCCGCGGUAAUACGUAGGGGGCAAGCGUUAUCCGGAUUUACUGGGUGUAAAGGGAGCGUAGACGGUAUGGCAAGUCUGAAGUGAAAGCCCCGGGCUCAACCUGGGAACUGCUUUGGAAACUGUUAAACUAGAGUGCUGGAGAGGCAGGCGGAAUUCCUAGUGUAGCGGUGAAAUGCGUAGAUAUUAGGAGGAACACCAGUGGCGAAGGCGGCCUGCUGGACAGUAACUGACGUUGAGGCUCGAAAGCGUGGGGAGCAAACAGGAUUAGAUACCCCCGUACCC
rnacentral:rRNA from 1 species